rnacentral:rRNA from 1 species
UGAGGAAUAUUGGUCAAUGGGCGAGAGCCUGAACCAGCCAAGUAGCGUGCAGGAUGACGGCCCUAUGGGUUAUAAACUGCUUUUAUAUGGGAAUAAAGUGAGGGACGUGUCCCUUAUUGCAUGUACCAUACGAAUAAGGACCGGCUAAUUCCGUGCCAGCAGCCGCGGUAAUACGGAAGGUCCAGGCGUUAUCCGGAUUUAUUGGGUUUAAAGGGAGCGUAGGCUGUUUGUUAAGCGUGUUGUGAAAUGUAAGAGCUCAACUUUUAGAUUGCAGCGCGAACUGGCAGACUUGAGUGCGCACAACGUAGGCGGAAUUCAUGGUGUAGCGGUGAAAUGCUUAGAUAUCAUGACGAACUCCGAUUGCGAAGGCAGCUUACGGGAGCGCAACUGACGCUGAAGCUCGAAGGUGCGGGUAUCGAACAGG